GGCAAAGGUUAGGUCUUCACGGCUCUUGAUCUGUGCUUGAUCUAGCUUGGAGAUACUGUGAAUCUUCUGUGUGUGAGAGCAAACCAGUUCAUGACACCAAGAACCCCAGAGGAGAUCCGAAUUUCCCGGGUUUGAUGUCUCUGCUGGCACUCUGAAAUUUUUUUGCAAUAUUGACAGCUUAUAACUUCCCAAGAAGUGGGGAUCCUGCAUGAAUCCCUUCCCCCUCCAUGACAGAAUGCGUGUCACCCAGUUCUGUGCAGGCAGUCUGGUCCAGAGUGCAAAGGCCGUGUGUUGCCGGGAAGACAACAUUCCAUAGCACACCUCCCUUCCCCCAGCUCUUAUGUUCAUCUCCAUAAACACAAUUCUUACAGAUCUCUUAAGCUGAGCGAUCCUGACCUCGUGACCUUCGCUGCAAGAUCCCUUCCUGCCCUGGACAUGCCCCUGCCCCCAUCCCAACCCAAAUUCCUCAUCCAGGGGCUAUAUAAGCCACA